UACGUAGGGGGCAAGCGUUGUCCGGAUUUAUUGGGCGUAAAGAGCGUGUAGGCGGCUUUACAGGUCCGUUGUGAAAACUCGAGGCUCAACCUCGAGACGCCGGUGGAAACCGUAAAGCUAGAGUCCGGAAGAGGAGAGUGGAAUUCCUGGUGUAGCGGUGAAACGCGCAGAUAUCAGGAGGAACACCCGUGGCGAAAGCGGCUCUCUGGGACGGUACUGACGCUAGGAGCGAAAAGCGUGGGGGAGCGAACAGGA
rnacentral:rRNA from 1 species